rnacentral:tRNA from 1 species
UCUGCUUUAGUAUACUUAUUAUAAUAGCUUUUCGUGCUGUAGAUAGUUUAUUUACAAACUAAGCAGGA